UACAGCCUAAGUGAAAGUUCUUCGGCACCGAAUAUGAGAUUAAAAGUGAAGACCACUUUUCUGGUAAGAUUUUCGGGGACGAAAAUCCCUAAAAGGGGAGAGUUGUAAUAUCCUGAUUUUGGGCCUAGUCGGAAUAGUGGUUUCGUGACCACAAAAUUCGAAAUAAAAAUAAUUAUUUUAUGAUUAUUUUGAGGUCUAUGAUAUGAUUGCAUGAUUGUGUGAAAAAUUC
rnacentral:lncRNA from 1 species